GACGAACGCUGGCGGCGUGCUUAACACAUGCAAGUCGAACGGAAAGGCCCUGCUUUUGUGGGGUGCUCGAGUGGCGAACGGGUGAGUAACACGUGAGUAACCUGCCCUUGACUUUGGGAUAACUUCAAGAAACUGGGGCUAAUACCGGAUAGGAGCUCCUGCUGCAUGGUGGGGGUUGGAAAGUUUCGGCGGUUGGGGAUGGACUCGCGGCUUAUCAGCUUGUUGGUGCGGUAGUGGCUUACCAAGGCUUUGACGGGUAGCCGGCCUGAGAGGGUGACCGGCCACAUUGGGACUGAGAUACGGCCCAGACUCCUACGGGAGGCAGCAGUGGGGAAUAUUGCACAAUGGGCGGAAGCCUGAUGCAGCAACGCCGCGUGCGGGAUGACGGCCUUCGGGUUGUAAACCGCUUUCGCCUGUGACGAAGCGUGAGUGACGGUAAUGGGUAAAGAAGCACCGGCUAACUACGUG
rnacentral:rRNA from 1 species